rnacentral:rRNA from 1 species
UCUGGUGUCAGCCGCCGCGGUAAUACCAGCUCUCCGAGUGGUAGGGAUGAUUAUUGGGCUUAAAGCGUCCGUAGCCGGCUUAGCAAGUCUCCUGUNAAAUUCAGCGACCUAAUCGUUGAGCCGCGGGAGAUACUACUAGGCUAGGAGGCGGGAGAGGCCGACGGUAUUCUCGGGGUAGGGGUGAAAUCCUAUAAUCCCGGGAGGACCACCAGUGGCGAAGGCUGUCGGCUAGAACGCGCUCGACGGUGAGGGACGAAAGCUGGGGGAGCGAACCGGAUUAGAUACCCGGGUAGUCCCAGCUGUAAACGAUGCGGGCUAGGUGUUGGGGUGGCUACGAGCCACUUCAGUGCCGCAGGGAAGCCAUUAA